rnacentral:rRNA from 1 species
AGCGAACGCUGGCGGCAUGCCUAACACAUGCAAGUCGAGCGCCCUCAGCAAUGGGGGAGCGGCGGACGGGUGAGUAACGCGUAGGAACGUAUCCUGAGGUGGGGGAUAACCCUGGGAAACUAGGGCUAAUACCGCAUGAUGGCGAGAGCCCAAAGAUUUAUCGCCUUGGGAGCGGCCUGCGUCUGAUUAGCUUGUUGGUGGGGUAACGGCCUACCAAGGCGAUGAUCAGUAGCUGGUCUGAGAGGAUGAUCAGCCACACUGGGACUGAGACACGGCCCAGACUCCUACGGGAGGCAGCAGUGGGGAAUAUUGGACAAUGGGCGAAAGCCUGAUCCAGCAAUGCCGCGUGGAUGAAGAAGGUCUUCGGAUUGUAAAGUCCUUUCGGCGGGGACGAUGAUGACGGUACCCGCAGAAGAAGCCCCGGCUAACUUCGUGCCAGCAGCCGCGGUAAGGCACGACUGU